rnacentral:sRNA from 1 species
GCCAGGCACAGUGGCAUGUGCCUGUAAUCCCAGCAACUCAGAAGCCUGAGGCAGGAGAAUCACAAAUUUGAGGCCAGUCUGGGCAAUGUAGUGAGACCCUGUCUCAA